UUAUAUGGAGUGUUGUAUAUCUGCUAUGGGUUGACAAAUGUAGUUAUAUUGUAGUAGUAAUCAGUAGUGUAGACGUGGUGUCUGGGCUAAGGGUUAUCCUUCAUUUGCCUUAUAUCCCACGGGCCACAAAGUAGGCCGUAGGUGGUGACAGCCCUAUUGGUCCUUCGUAAUCCUCCACGUUCGGAUAUAGCGUAGAGCCAUUGGCCAAAGGCGCCAGACUCAUUAAGUGUAAGCCGGAGGCACCUGACUCAUUCAGGGUAAGCCGAUGCCCAAAGCGAGUAUUCUGACCCGAGAGAUCGACCUUUAACUUAUCUAGCACUAUCCAUAGGAAUCCUCUCUACCUUUCACCCACCUUUGGCUGGUUGUCCUUGGAUACUAGAGUUGUAGGUAUACACACAUG
rnacentral:lncRNA from 1 species